UGGAAUGUAGCUCAGUGGUAGAGUGGUUCCCUAGCAUGCAUGAGGCACUGGGUUCAAUCCCCAGUAUUGCAA
rnacentral:tRNA from 1 species